GAGACAUUCACAGCAUCCUGCUAGCUCCUCAUUUUAAAGAGCCAUCACCUGAACACUAGCACAGAGGAUCCAGGUCCUAUUACACAAACUCUUUGGGCAUAAACCACAUCGCAAACCACAGCAUAAUACCAACAUUCAAGUUUCAUUAGUUAUUCCAAUAAUAGCAACAGUGAUCUUUGUGCAAACUUGCACACUCUAGUCUCUGCUGAAUUUCAAUUAUUUUUGCUUUCUACUGACUUUACAAUGUGGACAGGGUAAAAGAACAGUCAGUCCGUGGUCAGCUGACUCCAGGCAGAACCUGCAGCGAGGAAGUGCACGGAAGAGGAAAGCUGCUGGCAGCAUAGCAGCAAGGAAGCAAGCAAGAGGGGAGAAUCUGCAGAAGGAUGCUACUUUCCAGGGAAUCAACUCACGACCAUGUGCUCCCCAGGCAGGCACUGUGCUGCUGAGCUACAUUGCUGGCCCUAGCCACUUGAGUUUGGACCUGUAUAAAGUGCUAGUGUGUGUUGGAAAAGUUGAAUACAUGCUCCAAACGGUCAGGUGACCAGUGUUGGAAAAGCUUCAGCAAUGUAUCAACAUGCAAGGAGAAAACAGAAGCAAAGUUAACACAAAAACAAAGCCAAACACCAGGGAAGUGCAGAUACCCAUUUCACACCCAUCAUCGGGGCCCAGGAAAAUUACUGUGAACACCGAAAAUGUCUCAUUUUUGAAAUGACAGAAAAGCUGGAAGGUUUCCUUUAACAUAGCAGAUUCAAUCAAGAGAGGAAAUUAAAACCAAUUGAAGUUGCCUGUACACAGAUGGACCCACUCAUCCCACCCUCCUGGUUACAAAAAUGGCCUUAACCGACAGGGAAAGAACAAACAAAUUGAAGGAUAGACUUACUACUUACAGAGGCUUAGUUCCAGCUGAGGGAAGUGUUUUAUUAUCUUCCCAAGGCUUUUGUUUGAAUAUUUUGGAUUCUGAAAUAUAGAAUAAAACACGUAUGAAAA